UAAACAUACAAAUGUAAUAAAAAUUAUUGUUCGCGAAUAUUCAAUUUGGAAUGCGAUUUUGUUAAUAAAAAAAAUACUUAUAACUUAUGCAAAACCCAAGAGAGGCAUUUAUAUUUAUUUCUUUUGCGUUCAUUUUCAAAUUCGCCGUGCAUGCAUAUAUUUUUGUGCAUGGCGCUUGAGAGGGCAUCACGUGACUAAAAACGACCAACCAACGACCUCGCUUCGGCCAUCUUGGCAUCUUCAUCUUGGCGACCUUGCCUUGCCGUGGAUUGUUUUUAGUUGUUUGUAUUAUUUGUGCUUUUUAAGAAUAUUUUUUUAAUUCGGAUACUUUUAUAAUAGCUUUAAUAGUAUUAUUAACAUAGUGCAUAAAAUGGUGUCCUGUUUUUAACGCAGUUGGAGUAGCAGAAACAAAUGUAGAUAAAAAAAUCUGCAGGAAUAACGUUUCAAUUAUGACAGAAGCUCAAAACAAAUGACUGUGAAUGAAAAGCCCUAUUAAAAGCUUUCCAGAAGAUCCUGCGAAGAAGACAUGAAGUAUAGAUCAGAUUUGUUAAUAGAGGAGUAUGUUCAAAACACUUUUUAGAAAAAGAUAUUGACAGAACUUCACUUUCAUCUGUUCGUUUGAGAGACUGUGCUGUUCCAAUAGCUUAUGUCACACAGAAUCAGCUGAGAGAAGUGGUCUACAAAAAACCAGAAAGGAAACGGAAUAUGUGGCUACGAAAAGCAAAAGAAAGGUUUACAAAGCAAAUGUGACACAUUUUUUUAUAAUAUUUAGGAAUGUCAGCAAAUUACAUUAAAAAAUGUAUGUAAAGAUUUUUUGCAAUAAAAAUGUUUAUAUUUA